UACGGGGGUGGCGAGCGUUGUCCGGAAUCACUAGGCGUAAAGGGCCAGUAGGCGGAUCAGUAAGUCGGAUGUCAAAGACGUCGGCUCAACCGGCGGAAGGCGUUCGAUACUAUUGAUCUAGAGUAAGGUAGAGGAAGACGGAAUUCCUGGUGUAGCGGUGGAAUGCGCAGAUAUCAGGAAGAACACCGGUGGCGAAGGCGGUCUUCUGGGCCAUUACUGACGCUAAAUGGCGAAGGUGCGGGUAUCAAACAGGAUUAGAUACCCUGGUAGUCCGCACAGUAAACGAUAUGCACUAGGUGUUGGGGGGGAAGAACCCUUCAGUGCCGUAGCUAACGCGUUAAGUGCAUCGCCUGGGGAGUACGAUCGCAAGGUUAAA
rnacentral:rRNA from 1 species